rnacentral:rRNA from 1 species
UAGGGAAUCUUCGGCAAUGGACGGAAGUCUGACCGAGCAACGCCGCGUGAGUGAAGAAGGUUUUCGGAUCGUAAAGCUCUGUUGUAAGAGAAGAACGAGUGUGAGAGUGGAAAGUUCACACUGUGACGGUAUCUUACCAGAAAGGGACGGCUAACUACGUGCCAGCAGCCGCGGUAAUACGUAGGUCCCGAGCGUUGUCCGGAUUUAUUGGGCGUAAAGCGAGCGCAGGCGGUUAGAUAGGUCUGAAGUUAAAGGCUGUGGCUUAACCAUAGUAGGCUUUGGAAACUGUUUAACUUGAGUGCAAGAGGGGAGAGUGGAAUUCCAUGUGUAGCGGUGAAAUGCGUAGAUAUAUGGAGGAACACCGGUGGCGAAAGCGGCUCUCUGGCUUGUAACUGGCGCUGAGGCUCGAAAGCGUGGGGAGCAAACAGGAUUAGAUACCCUGGUAGUCCACGCUGUAAACGAUGAGUGCUAGGUGUUAGACCCUUUCCGGGGUUUAGUGCCGUAGCUAACGCAUUAAGCACUCCGCCUGGGGAGUACGACCGCAAGGUU